rnacentral:rRNA from 1 species
UACGUAGGGACCAAGCGUUGUUCGGAUUUACUGGGCGUAAAGGGCGUGUAGGCGGCGUGGUAAGUCAGCUGUGAAAUCUCCGAGCUUAACUCGGAACGGUCAGCUGAUACUGCUGUGCUAGAGUACAGAAAGGGCAAUCGGAAUUCUUGGUGUAGCGGUGAAAUGCGUAGAUAUCUGGAGGAACACCGGUGGCGAAGGCGGCAUCCUGGACCAACACUGACGCUGAUGAGCGAAAGCCAGGGGAGCAAACGGG